CUUGUAUCCUGCUUACCAGACUGAACUUGUGCACUGCCCCACAAGGGAUUUCUGUCAAAAUUUGCUAGCUGCACAAACUUCUAUUAAGCAUUAGGGCAAAACCAAAAGAAAAAGCUAAAGAAGCCAAUUUCUCUCUUCUUUGGGAUACAAUUAUUUCCCUUGUGCAUGAAGUAUCAACAGAAGAAAAAACUGAACAGACUGGAGACAGAAUAAACUCUGUUUAGUUUAUACAACCCCAAACACAUGUUGAACUAUGAACUGAGUUUAUUGGGUUGGUUUUAUUUAUUUUAAUUUUCUUGUGCCCACCCUCAGGCAUCGUCAUCUGAAGUCUCGCUGCUACUAGUUUCUGUUUCCGAGUCCUCAAUCUUUGUCUUAAAAGUGCUUCUCCAGUGGAACAGGCUGGAGCUGCGGCCCUGAAGAAAUCCAUUCUUUCCAAAUCCGUUUCUUCUUCGCUGCUCUGAUUUAAUUUGGAACUCUUUGAGCUCAUCCUCUGUGAGGGGAAGGUAAUUCUCAUCAUUUUCAGGAUAUUCCUGCCAUCCCAUUUCUUUCAAUAACCUGUGUUCUGCUUCCAAUGAAUGAGAGAGGUUUUCCCCCUCCUCUGGCAAAGGGAGAGAAAGGCCAUUUUGAUGGCAAUUCUCUUCCCAGUUUUCCUUUGGUUCUGGUGUGCUGUUGCUCUCCAUAUCAUCCAGCUUGUCACAUUCUCUGCUCUCUGUGAUCUCCCCAUUCCUAUCAUCUUUCAGUGCCUUCAAGAAUUCGCUCUUUUUAUCAGUGGUGCGACGCAUCAGCUUCAUCAAGCGUGAAGAGCAGAUCUCGAUAGGAGGGGUGGUGCUGGAAGGACUCUCUUUGGGAGAGGUGAGGACUGAGCCACUUGCCAGUACCGCUGGUUUGGUUACAGACACUGGACUGGUAAAGGCAGAGUCACGGCUGGAGGAAAGUGAGCCUGGCUUGUGUUCAUUUCUGUUGGCUUUCCAUGGACUUGGCUUGGAAGGAGGAGCUGCAGGUUUAGGAACCAGAUUUUUGUAGACACUUGGGACAAUGGUGGUGGCUUUGUUGCCAUUUGCCAGGUGAGAAACAGGCGAUGUAAAUGCAGCUGAGAAGGCAGCAGCAGGAUCCUCUUUUGAAACCUUUUUGAUGACCAGCAUCUUGGUAGGUUGCUUGGCACUAGGGGGGUUUUCCCAUACUCCGGAAGGUGUCCCUAAAGGUUUGUUCUGGUUGUUGUGUCUUCCAGCCUCUGGAUUCAAAGAUGGAAAGUCUUCUUCCUCAAAUUGCAAAUGCUCUUUGUCUUCCUUCUUCUCUUCCCUGGCUUCAACAGGCAGCUUUUCUUGAAAGGCAGAACUUUUCCGAGAAUGGAAGUUGCCAUUCCAGUGGCGAUGAACUCCAGUUCCUCCUCCACCACGCUGGUUCACGCCAUCAUGGCCCCGCGAGGGACCAUGCCAGCCAGGCUGACUGCCAGAAAGCCCAACAUGAGCUCCUUUAGAAACACCAGAAUCUACAGAGUCAUGGCGGAGAAGGGAUGGCUGAUGCCAGCAGUCUCCUGCAGCUCGGAGGGGCCCAUUAUUGAAAAAUCCAUCAGAGGAGUUGUGUCUCC
rnacentral:lncRNA from 1 species